UUUUUUUUCUGUCAAUGACUAAGAUGACCUUCAUAUAUUGAGAGGAUGCGAAGCAUUGUCUGUACUGAGCAAGUGAGGACUCAGAAGGCCUCGAAUGGAGGCAGGGGUGUCUUAAUGCAGAUUGGCAGUGGGGUCUUAUGGAAGAGCAGGGCAUGAAGUGGGCUUCUUGUGCAAGUGGCACCCUCUCUCUGUGCCUCAGUUUCCACAUCUAUAACAUGGAGAUUGUAACAGAACUUACCUUAUAGUCCCACCCUCUCUCUGUGCCUCAGUUUCCACAUUUAUAACAUGGAGAUUGUAAUAGAAUUUACCUUAUAGAAGGUUCUUAACUUUGGUGCUACUGACAUUUGGAGCUGGAUAAUUCUCUGCUAUGGGGGUUGUCUUGUGCACUGUAGGGCACUGAACAGCAUCCCUGGCCUCCACCCAUCAGAUGCCAGUAACUUCUCUCCAGUUGUGACAACCCCAAAUGUCCCCACAUAUAGCCUAAUAUCUCCUGUGGGGGCAAAAUCACUCCCAGCCAAGGACUGCUCCCUGGUCAGAUGAUCCGGGCGCUUGUGUUGCCACCCGGCACAGGCUGCUGCUCAAGUUGUGCAGGGAAUCGUAGCUGCUCUGUGGUUAAGUGGCUGCCUGGCCCUGCCACUCCUUAGCAGGUGGGCUUGGACCAGUGACUCCAGCUCUCUGAGCCUCAGCGUCUUCAUCUGUAAAAUGAGAUAAUGUUAGCACUUCAUCUCUUGGGGCUGUCAGGAGGAUUAAGUAGAUUAAUCCUGUGAAGCGCUCAGAAGCAUGCCUGGCACACAGUGAGAAUUUGAGGCCGAGGCUGAGGCUGAUGAAGGCUUCUGGGAAUAGUGGGAGCUAGAGAAAGGGAUCUUUGCAUCCUCACCUCAGCAAGUGCUACCUGAGGCCUCUGGCGUGUGUGCCCCUGCACUAAUGGAGGACAUGCGGGAACGGCUGCCCCCACCCAGACAGGCGGCUGGCUCAGUCCCUCAGCCCUGCCAGGCCAUUUAACAAUUAAGCGGCUGAGGGGUGACGAGGCUGGAAAGCCAGAAGUGACCAGGGUCUGGCCUUGCUUGGCUUUGGUGACGCGAUGGCCUUGGGAUCAUGGCCUUCUUGAACCCAUAAGCAGGGGGUUGGGCCCCAAGACAGGCAAGGCCAGGCCAAGGUCUGUGCUGGUGGCCUCAAGCUGAAGCCAUGCAGGGACAGGAAGGGGGUUGUUCCAAGGCUACAGGGAAGGGAGUGCUGUGGAGCGAGAGUUUCUGUCCAUGGGGGCGACCCCCAUCCACUCACACUCUGGCAUUCCAUUUCCCACUUCCCAACUCUUUCUCAAUUUUCACCUCCAAUUUAUUGAGCACUUACUACAUGCAGGGCUCUGCCAAAGUACUUUACACAGAUCUGACUCCUGUUCUCCCUCUCGCAUCAUGGAAAGGGGCUCUGUCCCCUCCCCAGAUGAGCGAAGCCCUGUUACUCAGACUCCCAUUGCACCAGGUAAGGAGUGGAGGCUCUCAGAGGUGAGUCAACAGCUCACAGGGGCAGAGUCAAAGCCCCAGCCCAGGUCUGGGGUCUCCCAAGCACCUGCCCUUAACCGCACAGCCCCUGCUAGGCCUCCUCUCUCUGUCAUUUCCCCCCCAGCACCUCCACUUUCCUCUCUCUGGCUCUUGCUGUCUCUCUGGCUCUUGCUGUCUCUCCAGCUUUCCCUGAACAUCUUCCUAGUUGUGUUUUUCUCCUUCUCUGUGUCUCUUUUCUGUCUGUUUCUCUUUUUCACUUUCUCGGUCUCUCUCCCUCCCUCUGUUUCCUUCUCUCUCCAUCUGUUUGUGUUUCUCUUUCCCAUCCCCUGUCUCUCGCUCUCUCUCUCUCACUCUGCCUGUUUCUCUCUCUCCCUUUCUCUCUCUCCUCCUCUGCCUGCCCGCCUCCCCUGGCCGCCCCGCCUUGCGGCUCUGUCUCUCUGCAGUCAGCCCUUGUCCCCACGCCAGCACAUUAUGUCCCUGGUCAGACCCUGACGUCAGGCGGGGCCUGGCGGGCGGCCAUGGGACACUGCCGGGCAGGCGAGAGGGAGUGCUCGACUUCCCGGUCCCCACUGUAGUGGCCGCCUGCCCGCCGCCCGGCCUGGCCUACCCAGCCUGGCAGCAAAGCUUCACUUCUCCCGGCCUAGCUCAGCUGGCUGGAGAGUGGACCGCGCUUUGUGGCUGCCUUCCCUCUGAGCCUGGGGCUGCAGGCCACUCGCCUUUCCCUUCCCCUGCUUCGACCCCACAACCACAAAAGACUUGGUCCCAGAGGGUAGGCAGUAUUGCAUGGGGCCAAGUCUUGGCUGUGUGACAAGUCACCCAGCCCUCUCUGAGUCUCCUUGUAAAACAAAGCCAUUGAGGCACCUGCUUCUCAGGUCUGCAGGGGGUGUCAACCCACAGUGGCUCACAGGACAACAGGAGCGAGGCCCCAGCAGGAAUUCAGUGUCACUGCAGUGUCUAGGCCAGCAGUCUUCAAGGAGGGGAGGCUGGCAGAGAUGGGGGAUCUGAGUGUCACAGUGACAGGGGAACAUGGCUGACGAGCAGGCAGGGAUGUGCCAUGGGGGACUGCCAGGCAGGACAGCCCCACCCACAACACAAACAGUGCCCUGCCGAGAAACCCUCCCCAAGCUCGGCUGGUCUCAGGUCCCAUCAGAGCUUAAAUAAGUGGUUUAAAAAAAUGUCAUAUUUCUUGUUUGGUUUGUUUAUUUUUUCCCCCUGAUUUUCAAAGCAAAGUCGUUUCCUUGAAGGACAUACCAAGGGUACUUGAGCUUUCUAGUUUAGAGACAGACUUUAGGAUCUGAUCAACGCGGGUCAAAUCCGGCCGGGUGACCCUGGCCGGUGACUUUGUGCUCUGAGCCUCAGUUUCCUCAUCUGUCAAAUGAAAGUAAGGAAUGAGAAGGUCAUGGGGAUGAAGCAAAAGCAUGUUUGUAAAGCACCCAGAAUGGGAUCUUGCCCGUGGUAAAUGGUCUAUAUUCGGUAGUCUUUUUUUCUCGUCUUUUUUUAUUCUUCUUAUUUUAAAUAUAGGAGACACAGAAAAGUACAAAGAAGAAAACUAAAAAGGUGACCCAGAGAGAACCACUCUAAGAUGUGCACGGGAAUUCAGCUCAGCUCGCGUAUUUAAAUUGAGAUCCUACUGUUGUCUGUUUUUUCAUUUUUCACGAAAAUAAAACUUGACUCAAAGUUUCAUUUUAAAAUACCUUUGCUUAUUACUAUUAUUUGAAUACUUACAUAUUCAAAAGGUUCAAAAGGUAUCCAGGGAGAAGUGAGGAUACCUCCUACUCCAGCCUCUGUUGAUUGGUUUCUUGUGUAUUCUUCC
rnacentral:lncRNA from 1 species